UCUCAGGGCUAGCUCCCUAUCCACUGAAGCAGCCUCUCUCUCUGCUGAAAAAAAGGACUCUGACAGAUGGGAGCAAAACCAAGAAGGGCAGUUCUCUGAGACUCCACCAAACAGUCCCAAGGCGGUUGGGAAGGAUGUCAUGGCUGACACCAUGAAAAGUAACAUAGAGGUCAGGAAGGACGACGAAAGAGAGAGUACGAGAGUCAGAGGAGAGGAGAUCACUAAACCCCCAAGGAGUGGCAGGUCCUGCCAUAUGCUGUGUUGCAGACCCAGCUCCUGGAGUCAAGUGGAUAUGUGAUGAUUUCAGCCUUCGUUCUUAAAGAAAAAGACUAUGUUUAAGAAAAUGGCUGGAAUAAAUGCAUCUAAGUUUGAAACCUCAGUUGUUCCCAACACACACUGAAAUCCAACAGAGAAGAGCACAUUGUUCUGCCAACCUUUGCAUGAAUAUAAGGAUUAGAGUCUCUCAUGUCAAACAAAAAAUUAGUUUCAUUGCCAUGUAAGAAAUAUGGGUCUAAUUUCUACAGUGGUAAUGCUGGAGAAUUUAAAAAUCAUUCAGCGAUUAGCAGUAAAAA